rnacentral:rRNA from 1 species
UACAGAGGGUGCGAGCGUUAAUCGGAAUUACUGGGCGUAAAGCGCGCGUAGGCGGUUUUGUAAGUCGGGUGUGAAAUCCCCAAGCUUAACUUGGGAACUGCAUUCGAGACUGCAUAGCUAGAGUAUGGGAGAGGGAAGUGGAAUUUCAGGUGUAGCGGUGAAAUGCGUAGAUAUCUGAAGGAACAUCAGUGGCGAAAGCGACUUCCUGGACCAAUACUGACGCUCAUGUGCGAAAGCGUGGGGAGCGAACAGG